rnacentral:rRNA from 1 species
UGAGGAAUAUUGGUCAAUGGACGAGAGUCUGAACCAGCCAAGUAGCGUGCAGGAUGACGGCCCUAUGGGUUGUAAACUGCUUUUGUUUGGGAAUAAUCGACAUUACGUGUAAUGUUUUGCAUGUACCAUUCGAAUAAGGACCGGCUAAUUCCGUUCCAGCAGCCGCGGUAAUACGGAAGGUCCAGGCGUUAUCCGGAUUUAUUGGGUUUAAAGGGAGUGUAGGCGGUUGGUUAAGCGUGUUGUGAAAUGUAGAUGCUCAACAUCUGACUUGCAGCGCGAACUGGCUGACUUGAGUACACACAACGUAGGCGGAAUUCAUGGUGUAGCGGUAAAAUGCUUAGAUAUCAUGAAGAACUCCGAUUGCGAAGGCAGCUUACGGGAGUGUUACUGACGCUUAAGCUCGAAGGUGCGGGUAUCGAACAGG